UGUGGGAGAGCUCUACGUUGUGGCUUGCAUUAUUUCAAACAACGGACAAUGAUGGCUGACCUUUGUUAUUCUAGAGGAUGAACACGAUGAAGAUGGUUGUCGUGAAGGGGAUAUGACAAGUUUAGGAUUUUGCGUUUUUGAACAAUGGGUGGACAACAGGUGGGGUUUUGAUUUGUUUUGGGGAUUUGUUUCAAGUGACAAACAUGGUUGUUGUGUGCAUGGAUCUGGUGGCUUCUUGAUGCGAAAAAGAUGCAAUGACGAAUUCACGAUCUAGCAUAUCUAUGUUGGGUACAUGAAGCUGAGAUUGUUUGUGGUUGUGAUUUCAGAUUUGUAUUGGUGAUGGAGGGUGAACGGCGUGAUGGUUUGCGACGGAAGGUAUAAUGGUUUGGUGAUUUGGGUCGUGCGACAUUGACAUUAUUGUAGUUUACAGGUGUAGUGUUGUGCAUGGUGGAGUGAUGAGUUGAUAUUUUAUUUAUUUCACUUAGUUUAUUGUGCUAGAAUUAAUCAGGGAAUUGUGCUUAAUUGUC
rnacentral:lncRNA from 1 species